rnacentral:rRNA from 1 species
UGGGGAAUAUUGCACAAUGGGCGCAAGCCUGAUGCAGCCAUGCCGCGUGUAUGAAGAAGGCCUUCGGGUUGUAAAGUACUUUCAGUCGGGAGGAAGGGAGUAAAGUUAAUACCUUUACUCAUUGACGUUACCCGCAGAAGAAGCACCGGCUAACUACGUGCCAGCAGCCGCGGUAAUACGUAGGUGGCAAGCGUUGUCCGGAUUUAUUGGGCGUAAAGCGAGCGCAGGCGGUUUCUUAAGUCUGAUGUGAAAGCCCCCGGCUCAACCGGGGAGGGUCAUUGGAAACUGGGAGACUUGAGUGCAGAAGAGGAGAGUGGAAUUCCAUGUGUAGCGGUGAAAUGCGUAGAUAUAUGGAGGAACACCAGUGGCGAAGGCGGCUCUCUGGUCUGUAACUGACGCUGAGGCUCGAAAGCGUGGGGAGCAAACAGG